rnacentral:pre_miRNA from 1 species
GUACUACUUCCUCCGUCCGGAAAUACUUGUCAUCAAAAUGAAUAAAAGGGGAUGUAUCUAGAUGUAUUUUAGUUCUAGAUACAUCUCUUUUCAUCCAUUUUGGUGACAAGUAUUUUCGGACGGAGGGAGUACUAA